rnacentral:rRNA from 1 species
CCUACGGGUGGCAGCAGUGAGGAAUAUUGGUCAAUGGGCGCGAGCCUGAACCAGCCAAGUAGCGUGAAGGAUGACUGCCCUACGGGUUGUAAACUUCUUUUAUAAAGGAAUAAAGUGAGGCACGUGUGCCUUUUUGUAUGUACUUUAUGAAUAAGGAUCGGCUAACUCCGUGCCAGCAGCCGCGGUAAUACGGAGGAUCCGAGCGUUAUCCGGAUUUAUUGGGUUUAAAGGGAGCGUAGAUGGGGUGUUAAGUCAGACGUGAAAGUCUGCGGCUCAACCGUGAAAUUGCAAUUGAUACUGGCAGCCUUGAGUGCAGUUGAGGUAGGCGGAAUUCGUGGUGUAGCGGUGAAAUGCUUAGAUAUAACGAAGAACUCCGAUUGCGAAGGCAGCCUACUAAACUGCCACUGACACUGAGGCUCGAAAGUGUGGGUAUCAAACAGGAUUAGAUACCCGAGUAGUC